AGCGAACGCUGGCGGCAGGCCUAACACAUGCAAGUCGAACGGACCUUUCGGGGUUAGUGGCGGACGGGUGAGUAACACGUGGGAACGUGCCUUUAGGUUCGGAAUAAGCUCGGGAAACUGGGUCUAAUACCGAAUGUGCCCUUCGGGGAAAGAUUUAUCGCCGAAGGAUUAGCCCGCGUUGGAUUAGGUAGUUGGUGGGAUAAUGGUCUACCAAGCCGACGAUCCAUAGCUGGUUUGAGAGGAUGAUCAGCCACACUGGGACUGAGACACGGCCCAGACUCCUACGGGAGGCAGCAGUGGGGAAUUUUGGACAAUGGGGGAAACCCUGAUCCAGCAAUGCCGCGUGAGUGAAGAAGGCCUCGGGUUGU
rnacentral:rRNA from 1 species